GACGAACGCUGGCGGCGUGCUUAACACAUGCAAGUCGAACGGAAAGGCCCUGCUUUUGUGGGGUGCUCGAGUGGCGAACGGGUGAGUAACACGUGAGUAACCUGCCCUUGACUUUGGGAUAACUUCAGGAAACUGGGGCUAAUACCGGAUAGGAGCUCCUGCUGCAUGGUGGGGGUUGGAAAGUUUCGGCGGUUGGGGCUGGACUCGCGGCUUAUCAGCUUGUUGGUGGGGUAGUGGCUUACCAAGGCUUUGACGGGUAGCCGGCCUGAGAGGGUGACCGGCCACAUUGGGACUGAGAUACGGCCCAGACUCCUACGGGAGGCAGCAGUGGGGAAUAUUGCACAAUGGGCGGAAGCCUGAUGCAGCAACGCCGCGUGCGGGAUGACGUCCUUCGGGUUGUAAACCGCUUUCGCCUGUGACGAAGCGUGAGUGACGGUAAUGGGUAAAGAAGCACCGGCUAACUACGUG
rnacentral:rRNA from 1 species